rnacentral:pre_miRNA from 1 species
ACUCAUGGAUUUCCGUGUCCAACGUUUGACCGUUCAUCUUAUUUAAAAAAAUGUGAAAAAAAUUAAAAAAGACAAGUCACACAUAAAGUAUUAAUCAUGUUUUAUCAUCUAACAACAAUGAAAAUACUAAUUAUAAAAAUAAAUCAUAUAAAACGGAGAGUCAAACGUUGGACACGGAAACCCAGGUUUUUUUUUUUG